GAUGAACGCUGGCGGCGUGCCUAAUACAUGCAAGUCGAGCGAACGGACGAGAAGCUUGCUUCUCUGAUGUUAGCGGCGGACGGGUGAGUAACACGUGGAUAACCUACCUAUAAGACUGGGAUAACUUCGGGAAACCGGAGCUAAUACCGGAUAAUAUUUUGAACCGCAUGGUUCAAAAGUGAAAGACGGUCUUGCUGUCACUUAUAGAUGGAUCCGCGCUGCAUUAGCUAGUUGGUAAGGUAACGGCUUACCAAGGCAACGAUGCAUAGCCGACCUGAGAGGGUGAUCGGCCACACUGGAACUGAGACACGGUCCAGACUCCUACGGGAGGCAGCAGUAGGGAAUCUUCCGCAAUGGGCGAAAGCCUGACGGAGCAACGCCGCGUGAGUGAUGAAGGUCUUCGGAUCGUAAAACUCUGUUAUUAGGGAAGAACAUAUGUGUAAGUAACUGUGCACAUCUUGACGGUACCUAAUCAGAAAGCCACGGCUAACUACGUGCCAGCAGCCGCGGUAAUACGUAGGUGGCAAGCGUUAUCCGGAAUUAUUGGGCGUAAAGCGCGCGUAGGCGGUUUUUUAAGUCUGAUGUGAAAGCCCACGGCUCAACCGUGGAGGGUCAUUGGAAACUGGAAAACUUGAGUGCAGAAGAGGAAAGUGGAAUUCCAUGUGUAGCGGUGGAAUGCGCAGAGAUAUGGAGGAACACCAGUGGCGAAGGCGACUUUCUGGUCUGUAACUGACGCUGAUGUGCGAAAGCGUGGGGAUCAAACAGGAUUAGAUACCCUGGUAGUCCACGCCGUAAACGAUGAGUGCUAAGUGUUAGGGGGUUUCCGCCCCUUAGUGCUGCAGCUAACGCAUUAAGCACUCCGCCUGGGGAGUACGACCGCAAGGUUGAAACUCAAAGGAAUUGACGGGGACCCGCACAAGCGGUGGAGCAUGUGGUUUAAUUCGAAGCAACGCGAAGAACCUUACCAAAUCUUGACAUCCUUUGACAACUCUAGAGAUAGAGCUUUCCCCUUCGGGGGACAAAGUGACAGGUGGUGCAUGGUUGUCGUCAGCUCGUGUCGUGAGAUGUUGGGUUAAGUCCCGCAACGAGCGCAACCCUUAAGCUUAGUUGCCAUCAUUAAGUUGGGCACUCUAAGUUGACUGCCGGUGACAAACCGGAGGAAGGUGGGGAUGACGUCAAAUCAUCAUGCCCCUUAUGAUUUGGGCUACACGCGUGCUACAAUGGACAAUACAAAGGGCAGCGAAACCGCGAGGUCAAGCAAAUCCCAUAAAGUUGUUCUCAGUUCGGAUUGUAGUCUGCAACUCGACUACAUGAAGCUGGAAUCGCUAGUAAUCGUAGAUCAGCAUGCUACGGUGAAUACGUUCCCGGGUCU
rnacentral:rRNA from 1 species